GAUGAACGCUGGCGGCGUGCCUAAUACAUGCAAGUCGAGCGAAUGGAUUAAGAGCUUGCUCUUAUGAAGUUAGCGGCGGACGGGUGAGUAACACGUGGGUAACCUGCCCAUAAGACUGGGAUAACUCCGGGAAACCGGGGCUAAUACCGGAUAACAUUUUGAACCGCAUGGUUCGAAAUUGAAAGGCGGCUUCGGCUGUCACUUAUGGAUGGACCCGCGUCGCAUUAGCUAGUUGGUGAGGUAACGGCUCACCAAGGCAACGAUGCGUAGCCGACCUGAGAGGGUGAUCGGCCACCAUGGGACUGGGACACGGCCCAGACGCCUGCGGGAGGCAGCAGUAGGGAAGCUUCCGCAAUGGACGAAAGUCUGACGGAGCAACGCCGCGUGAGUGAUGAAGGCUUUCGGGUCGUAAAACUCUGUUGUUAGGGAAGAACAAGUGCUAGUUGAAUAAGCUGACACCUUGACGGUACCUAACCAGAAAGCCACGGCUAACUACGUGCCAGCCGCCGCGGUAA
rnacentral:rRNA from 1 species